GUUCUCACAAACACCUUCUGGCAGCUCCCUAGGACUGACCCAGAGCAGGUGCUGGAAGGCGCCCUGCGUCUUCCGGCACGAAGUCCUGGCCUCUGCUUGCUCGGGCGGCCGGGUCCGCACCGCUAGGGUCAGCGGGCGCUCCCAGAACACACCCAGCGUACGGAGUGUCUCCUCCCAGAGGCAGCUGAGCCAGUGUAUAGUUGGGGGACCGCGGCGGCUCCUAGGGUUCGAGUGGCCCCGCCCCCACCCCAGCGGCGCCGGCCUCCUGAAGCCUAAGGCGAGGCCAGGCGAGCGCGCAGCGUAGUGAGAAAGCGCCUAGGCCAGCCGGUCACUUGCGUCCCCCGCCCCCCGGGCGGCCGCGGGGAAUCCCUGCUCCUUGGCAUCUCCGGCCUCAGCCUAGGGUCCCCCGCAAGCCGGCGCCGCGGCGAGUCGCGCAGCGGGCGCCGGGAGGGGGGCGGGGAGGAAGCCGGCGCCGGAAUCACAAAGCCGCGAACCCAGCCGGGCGGGGACACUCUCGUAAAACCGAUGCUCUCACGACCGGCGGAAAAGGGGCUCUUGCCCUACGGUCAAUUCCCAGUGGCCUCAGCAUCACCCCCAAUCUUUCCUGCCGGAACGAAUCGUUGCCCACCACUGCUAGGGAAACUGAGGCCAGAAGUCUGAGCUAGGGUAGCUGGGGGAGGGGGGAACGGGUGCGAGUCCAUUUCACCCACCAGUUCUACUCCCGCGCCUGCCACGGUCUCCCUUCUGGCCCCCAGGCCUUUCCCCGACACACGACUGGCCUGCAGCCGGGACCGGGAAGAGGGGGCGCCCUGGUGUGUGACUGACCCAGGUGUGCGGGACCCAGUCAUACAAAUGUACCUGAUGGCAAAGGAAUCAGGGAAACGCAGUCAAGCUCUCUGAUCUCUGCAACACAAAUGAAGAAAGUAGGAACAGAGGAAGAUGCCAAUUGGCCAAUUCAACACCGACUUGGACCCUGUCACUUAGGAGUUCAUUGCCAGUAAAGAGAAGAAGAUUCCUACUGGGCAUGGUGGGACACACCUAUAAUCUGGGCAACAAGCAGAUUCUUUGGACCCCAUUUUCAAAGAUUUUGACUCAGCACAUCCAGCAGGAGGCCCAGAAUCUGAGUUUUCAACAUGUACUUGAAAUGCCUCUGAUGUAGGUAGUUCAGGGACUAUGUUUGAGAAACAUCACUAAACCAUAUGCAGAAUCUGAGGCUUGGAGAAGUGAACUUGCCCAGGAAUUUGCUAUGGAAAGCAGAAUCAGGAUUCAGGAUUCAAGCCCAGACAGUCUGACUCCAGAGUCAGAAUUGAUAAUUACCAAAGUAUCAUUGUUGGGGUGCCGGAAAGCGGGUGUGUGUGUGUGGGGGGGGGUAGGGUAAACUACUACAUUUAAUAGAACAACCAUUGUUAGAUGUUCUCUGGCUUCCCAGUCGAUUAGAACGAGUGUUUUCGCAUGAAGGAAACAUGAUAUUUGGGUACAGUGAGAAUGAGGAACACUCCACCCCAUCUGUCUCGCUCAUGGUUUCUUUCUUGGGAGUAAGGCUGCCUUGAAGCUCAAUGGUAUAGCCUUGCCUAACCCGGGCAAGGCCCUGGGUUCAAUCCCCAGCACCAGGGAGGGCGGCUUGUUCUUUCUAGCGUUGGCAGCCUCUGGCAGGCCCCAAAUAGUGGAACGGCCACAUUAACACGGCCUGGGGCGCCUGCCCCCCAGCGAGGAAGGCUUGGAGCGGCCUCUCUGCAGGCACUGAAGCUCCGGCCCCCAGCAGCCAAGGUUUGGAGGAGGGAGGAGGGGUGCAGCGGUUGCUACGGUUUAUGCUCCUCCAGAGCUUCAGAGCAAGAUUUCCCCAAAAAGCCAUAUUAAAUAAAUAAAAGGAAAUUCAGCAGAUGGGAACAUGAAUCAAUGAAAACUCCCAUAUGAGUGCAAAGAUUUAUGUCAAAAAACAAAACAUCAACAUCUGGGAGCUGCCGCGUCUUCUCUUGGCUGCUCGUUUGGAAUGGAUUCUCGGUGUCGCUUUCCGCCUCUUUCUGGCCCUGGGAGAGGACGAAAAGAAAUAAAGAAUGAAGCCCAUUUAAAAAGAGUCGUUUUUAAUCAGAAAUGAACGCUGCUUUCCCCCUCAACGCUGGAGGAGACGUGAAGCAGGCGCAGGACUACGGGCUCAGUCCUGGGAGUGCGGGAAGGGAGCCCUCUGCCGGAGGCUGCCGGGCGCCCCUCCCUGCCCAACCCGGGGCGGCUCCCGGGUGGGAUGCCUCCAGAUUUCACAGCUGUGGUGGCAGCAGCAGCACCCGUCGCACUGCAACGCGCUGGGCGGCAAGGCGGCGCCUGGUUGGUCACGUGGACGGGAGCCCAAACCAGGCGACUCUGGCCACCUCUACAGGCGGUCGCCACUAGAGAGCACGGAGAGCACGUCUGACCAGGGCAAAGGUAUACCUGGGUUCCUCCAAUCUGGAGGAUAAGCAUCAGCGACAAGUAGCAAAGCUGGAAUGUGCACCAAAGAUGGAAGUCCGCACUUAAUUCUUAGACCCGGUGCAGGAAUUAAGAAGGUAGAUGUUGGGCCCUAACGUGUGGGUUCAAAUCCCAACUACGUUAGCACCAUCUGUGUGAUCCAGAGCAAGUUUACCUUCCCGAGUCAGGAUUUUCCUCACCUGUAAAAUGGGAAUAAUAGCACCAAAAAGUGAAAAGUAACUGAGAAAACAUGCAUGCAAAGUACUUAGCACAGUGCACAUAUACAUAAAAUUGAGUAAAUUUUAACUAGUAUCAUUCAAAAAAAAAAAAAAAAGAAGAAGGCUCUGCAUAACCUGUGCUCCCAGCUCUGCAACCUUCUAGAGGCCACUGAAUUCCUCCAUUAUCGGGUUCUAGUCACAUAAGCCUUGUUUUCCAUCCAGCAAAAGUACCUUCAGCCUCAGGACUUUUGCACAUUCCCUCUGCCUGAAAGAUUUUUUUCACCUUCUGCUUCAACCAAGCCUCUGCGUGUUUGUGUUUUGCUGGGGAUUGAACCCAGGGCCUCUGACAUGCUAGGCAAGUACUCUAACACUGAGCUACAUCCCUAACCUACAGCCUCUCCUUUCUUUGGGCCUACAUUACUUGUACAUGGUGUGGCAAAUUCCUUCCAAUUCUUUCCUCCCCAAAAAGUGAUCUUCCUGUUCUAUGCUGUCACAGCAGCAGGUUUCUCCUUACUUGCAAAUUUCCCAGUUGAAAUGUAGAAUUGGUUUUGUUAAGCAAUUAAUGUCUUUCACCCUUUGGACAGUUCACCAGGCUAGGAGCUCAGUCUGUUGCAUUUGCUGUGGUAUCUCCAGCCUCUAGGACAGUGAGGGACCUAGGCCCUCCAUUUAUGGGGAAUAACCAGAGUGGAUGAUGGGACUCUGAGGCCAAAUGAAUCCUGGGUCUUCUAUAUUGUUUCACCACUUCCUUCCAAUAAACAAGUAUUAAGAUCAUCCAUAUACCAAGUCCUAUGCUGGACACAAGGGACAUAGACAUACAGUUCUUUGACUUAAUGGAGCUUAUCAUCCAAAGGCAACGACAGAUAUGUAAACAGAGGACGAAAUAGAUGGGGUAGAGAUGGCA